UCAUUUGUUAGGGCUUCGGCUUCUAGCAAAGUAUACCUAUUUCAUAGGUUUUAACAGUUACUAAAUAUCCUAAAAAUUUUAUAAAUUUUCAACGAUGGAUAUCUAGGUUCCUAUAACGAUGAAGAACGCAGCGAAGUGC
rnacentral:rRNA from 1 species